AAUAAUUUUUUCCUUUUCAAAUACAUUGAAGGAGGUUGGUUAAGCUUCUAGAAUUAAGGAUCAGUGAAAUAAAUCAAGUUCCUUUUUCCCAUUAUCAUGUAUGGGUAAAGUAGUGGAAUGGGUUAAAGUGUUGUUUGUCCGUAGCUUUGACAUAACACCAUUAAUUUGGCAUCUUAGACAUCCAACAAAAUAUCCAUUAAUUGGGAAUUACACACACAUAAAGUUGAUGAGAGCCAUAACAGAAAUUGAAAGCAUAUAAAAGAAACACAAUUACAGAGUAGGAAAAAAACGUCUUCCUGUUCUGAACCAUAGACAUCAGACCAUAUUUGUGUGUCUAUUAUCACAAAGUAGAAAUCUAAAACACAGGCAGACGAUAUUGAUGAAGAAGGAAGAGUAAUGAAGUCCAUAGGAAGUGGUCGUGUACGUUUGAAGAAGAAAGGGUAUGUUAGAGGAGAUCUUAACACAAAAUUUGGGCGAAUAUGGGAGUAAGAUGGUGAGGCGAUAAAUAUGAAUCUCCAUUGAAAUUUUUGAGAGUUUUUUCACCAAGUGAAGAGAAGGAGAAGAAGAAAAUUGUAUCUUUGUGUUUUUGGUUCCUAAGCAAAGAACAUAUCACACAUUUGAAAUAUUAAAUAUGCAAACUAACCUUAGAUAAAAACGUGGAAGCGGUGGUGGAACUCGGCCAACCCUAACCUGUGUAAAUCUAAUGUUGGCGAGAGAAUAAAAUCACAAACCCACGCGCGAAAUUUGAAUGAGUUUCAAACCACACAAUCAGAAACCCAACAAAGAUAUAUAGAAUAGAUCUCAAACGAAUUUUCAUCAUAUUCGGAUUUGAACUGCCCCUGCUUUUGACCAUCUACAAAAGAUCCUGUUAAAAAAAAUUAACGAUGACAAUAAACGAUGAGGAAGAGAGAAAGCAUACCACAAACUAAAAAGCAAUCGGCACAGACCGAUACUAAAUGGAUAGAGCUUAGACGAGGGUAUAUAUAUAUAUAUACCCUUUGUGUUC
rnacentral:lncRNA from 1 species